GGCCCAGUGGCUCAGUUGGUUAGAGCGCCGCCCUGUCACGGCGGAGGUCCUCGGUUCAAGUCCGUGCUGGGUCG
rnacentral:tRNA from 1 species